UACGAAGGGGGCUAGCGUUGUUCGGAAUUACUGGGCGUAAAGCGUGCGCAGGCGGCUUCUCAAGUCAGGGGUGAAAGCCCAGAGCUCAACUCUGGAAUUGCCUUUGAGACUGAGUGGCUUGAGUACGAGAGAGGUGAGUGGAAUUCCCAGUGUAGAGGUGAAAUUCGUAGAUAUUCGGAAGAACACCAGUGGCGAAGGCGACUUACUGGUCCAUGACUGACGCUGAGGCUCGAAAGCGUGGGGAGCAAACAGG
rnacentral:rRNA from 1 species